AUAUUUUGUUUCAAGAAUCAUAACCCUUUUUGCAUAAGAAGAUAUACAAAUAUAAACAAGCUCCUAGUUGUUGUCCAUGAUAUAUAAAGGAAGUAAGAAUUAGGAACA